rnacentral:rRNA from 1 species
GUGAGGAAUAUUGGUCAAUGGACGAGAGUCUGAACCAGCCAAGUCGCGUGAAGGAAGACGGUUCUAUGAAUUGUAAACUUCUUUUGUGCAGGAAUAAAGUGGGUUACGUGUAACCUUUUGUAUGUACUGUACGAAUAAGGAUCGGCUAACUCCGUGCCAGCAGCCGCGGUAAUACGGAGGAUCCGAGCGUUAUCCGGAUUUAUUGGGUUUAGAGGGUGCGUAGGUGGAUUGAUAAGUCAGCGGUGAAAGUUUGCAGCUUAACUGUAAAAUUGCAGUUGAAACUGUCGGGCUUGAGUGCAAAUGAGGUAGGCGGAAUGUGUUGUGUAGCGGUGAAAUGCUUAGAUAUAACACAGAACUCCGAUUGCGAAGGCAGCUUACUGGGAUGCAACUGACACUGAUGCACGAAAGCGUGGGUAUCAAACAGGAUUAGAUACCCGGGUAGUCC